GGAUGAACGCUGGCGGCGUGCUUAACACAUGCAAGUCGAACGGAAAGGCCCUGCUUGCAGGGUACUCGAGUGGCGAACGGGUGAGUAACACGUGGGUGAUCUGCCCUGUACUUUGGGAUAAGCCUGGGAAACUGGGUCUAAUACCGAAUAUGACCACUUCUUGGAUGGGGUGGUGGAAAGCUUUUGCGGUAUGGGAUGAGCUCGCGGCCUAUCAGCUUGUUGGUGGGGUAAUGGCCUACCAAGGCGUCGACGGGUAGCCGGCCUGAGAGGGUGUACGGCCACAUUGGGACUGAGAUACGGCCCAGACUCCUACGGGAGGCAGCAGUGGGGAAUAUUGCACAAUGGGCGCAAGCCUGAUGCAGCGACGCCGCGUGGGGGAUGACGGCCUUCGGGUUGUAAACUCCUUUCGCAACCGACGAAGCUUUUGUGACGGUAGGUUGAGAAGAAGCACCGGCUAACUACGU
rnacentral:rRNA from 1 species